UUCGCCCUUAGAGUUUGAUCCUGGCUCAGGACGAACGCUGGCGGCGCGCCUAACACAUGCAAGUCGAACGAGCGAGAGAGAGCUUGCUUUCUCAAGCGAGUGGCGAACGGGUGAGUAACGCGUGAGGAACCUGCCUCAAAGAGGGGGACAACAGUUGGAAACGACUGCUAAUACCGCAUAAGCCCACGACCCGGCAUCGGGUAGAGGGAAAAGGAGCAAUCCGCUUUGAGAUGGCCUCGCGUCCGAUUAGCUAGUUGGUGAGGUAAUGGCCCACCAAGGCGACGAUCGGUAACCGGACUGAGAGGUUGAACGGCCACAUUGGGACUGAGACACGGCCCAGACUCCUACGGGAGGCAGCAGUGGGGGAUAUUGCACAAUGGGGGAAACCCUGAUGCAGCGACGCCGCGUGGAGGAAGAAGGUUUUCGGAUUGUAAACUCCUGUCGUUAGGGACGAUAAUGACGGUACCUAACAAGAAAGCACCGGCUAACUACGUGCCAGCAGCCGCGGUAAAACGUAGGGUGCAAGCGUUGUCCGGAAUUACUGGGUGUAAAGGGAGCGCAGGCGGGAAGACAAGUUGGAAGUGAAAACCAUGGGCUCAACCCAUGAAUUGCUUUCAAAACUGUUUUUCUUGAGUAGUGCAGAGGUAGAUGGAAUUCCCGGUGUAGCGGUGGAAUGCGUAGAUAUCGGGAGGAACACCAGUGGCGAAGGCGGUCUACUGGGCACCAACUGACGCUGAGGCUCGAAAGCAUGGGUAGCAAACAGGAUUAGAUACCCUGGUAGUCCAUGCCGUAAACGAUGAUUACUAGGUGUUGGGGGAUUGACCCCCUCAGUGCCGCAGUUAACACAAUAAGUAAUCCACCUGGGGAGUACGACCGCAAGGUUGAAACUCAAAGGAAUUGACGGGGGCCCGCACAAGCAGUGGAGUAUGUGGUUUAAUUCGAAGCAACGCGAAGAACCUUACCAGGUCUUGACAUCCGAUGCAUAGCACAGAGAUGUGUGAAAUCCUUCGGGACAUCGAGACAGGUGGUGCAUGGUUGUCGUCAGCUCGUGUCGUGAGAUGUUGGGUUAAGUCCCGCAACGAGCGCAACCCUUAUUGCCAGUUACUACGUUAAGAGGACUCUGGCGAGACUGCCGUUGACAAAACGGAGGAAGGUGGGGAUGACGUCAAAUCAUCAUGCCCUUUAUGACCUGGGCUACACACGUACUACAAUGGCGUUAAACAAAGAGAAGCAAGACCGCGAGGUGGAGCAAAACUCAAAAACAACGUCUCAGUUCAGAUUGCAGGCUGCAACUCGCCUGCAUGAAGUCGGAAUUGCUAGUAAUCGCGGAUCAGCAUGCCGCGGUGAAUACGUUCCCGGGCCUUGUACUCACCGCCCGUCA
rnacentral:rRNA from 1 species